UGAGUACGAGAUGCUACGGCAUCGAAGCAGUCUAUGUCAUACUUCCAAGAAAAGCUUGCACUGUCAUAAACAAAGAAUGCCUGUACCAUAACCGACACAGGUGGGUAGGUAGAGUAUACUAAGGGGCGCGAGAUAACUCUCUCUAAGGAACUCGGCAAAAUGACUCCGUAACUUCGGGAGAAGGAGUGCCUUAUUUCUAAGGUUGCAAUAACAAGAUCCAAGCAACUGUUUACCAAAAACACAGGUCUCCGCUAAGUCGUAAGACGAUGUAUGGGGGCUGACGCCUGCCCAGUGCCAGAAGGUUAAAGAAGUUGGUUAGCAUUAGCGAAGCUGAUAACUGAAGCCCUGGUGAACGGCGGCCGUAACUAUAACGGUCCUAAGGUAGCGAAAUUCCUUGUCGGGUAAGUUCCGACCCGCACGAAAGGCGUAAUGAUUUGGAUACUGUCUCGGAGAGGGGCUCGGUGAAAUAGACUUGUCUGUGAAGAUGCGGACUACCUGCACCUGGACAGAAAGACCCUAUGAAGCUUUACUGUAACUUGAGAUUGAAAUUGGACUUUAUUUGCGCAGUAUAGGUGGGAGGCGUUGAGAAUAAUCUUGCGGGAUUGUUGGAGCCAUCAGUGAGAUACCACUCUUGUAAUGUUAGAUUUCUAACUUUGUAUCAUUAUCUGGUCAAAGAACAGUUUCAGGCGGGCAGUUUGACUGGGGCGGUCGCCUCCCAAAGGGUAACGGAGGCGCACAAAGGUUUCCUCUGAACGGGUAGAAAUCGUAUCUAGAGUGUAAAGGCAUAAGGAAGCUUGACUGUGAGACCUACAAGUCGAGCAGGGACGAAAGUCGGUCUUAGUGAUCUGACGGUGCUGAGUGGAAAGGCCGUCACCCAACGGAUAAAAGUUACUCUAAGGAUAACAGGCUGAUCUCCCCCAAGAGUUCACAUCGACGGGGAGGUUUGGCACCUCGAUGUCGGCUCAUCGCAUCCUGGGGCGGUAGUCCGUCCCAAGGGUUGGGCUGUUCGCCCAUGAAAGCGGUACGCGAGCUGGGUUCAGAACGUCGUGAGACAGUUCGGUCCAUAUCCGGUGUAGGCGUUAGAAUAUUGAGAGGAGCCUUCUCUAGUACGAGAGGACCGAGAAGGACAUACCUCUGGUGUACCAGUUAUCGUGCCAACGGUAAACGCUGGGUAGCUAUGUAUGGAGUGGAUAACCGCUGAAAGCAUCUAAGUGGGAAGCCCACCUCAAGAUAAGUAUUCUC
rnacentral:rRNA from 1 species